GGUGAGAUGGCCGAGUGGUUAUGGCGCUGCGUUCAGGUGAACCUGAAUUUCGAUACCAGGAGUUCAUCUUGAUAUCAAGAUACAAAUAUCGCAGUGGAGCAAUCCGCGUGGGUUCGAGUCCCACUCUCAUCA